UCUUUCCCUGGCUGUGAAGUAAGCUGUGGGCUCUGUGGAUGCUUUGCUGUGACGGAGGGCCGAGGGCUGACCAAGUCGUGGGGAGGAUUUGUAUGUGGGAAGAGAGGAGAUGGCUGUGCAGCGUGCUCCCGAAUCUGCUCUGAGCUUGCUGAUGGUAAGUGCUUGCUGAAAUCCAUUUGGGAAAGGGGGGUGGGCGAGGGGAGCUGCUCCGCAUGGAUUCAGGGCUCCAAAUCCACAGGAGGAUUUUGUGUGAGCCGGUGCUUGGCUUUUAGAGGUCCCAGGGAACUUUGCAAAAGGCUCAUCUGGGGCUCGCAUGGAGGCAAUUCCUCCCACGAUGGGUUUUAGCACAUCUGGACCGGUGAUCAGGGCAGGAUUGUGAAGUCACCUUUCCGGCAGGGCUGGCACUUGCGUUCGGGGUUUAUCCUGAGCAGCAGAUUUAAUUUUGUUC
rnacentral:lncRNA from 1 species